UACGUAGGGUCCGAGCGUUGUCCGGAAUUAUUGGGCGUAAAGGGCUCGUAGGCGGUUUGUCGCGUCGGGAGUGAAAACACGGGGCUUAACCCCGUGCCUGCUUCCGAUACGGGCAGACUAGAGGUAUGCAGGGGAGAACGGAAUUCCUGGUGUAGCGGUGAAAUGCGCAGAUAUCAGGAGGAACACCGGUGGCGAAGGCGGUUCUCUGGGCAUUACCUGACGCUGAGGCGCGAAAGCCAGGGGAGCGAACGGG
rnacentral:rRNA from 1 species